AUGUGGUUUGUUUUGUAUUAGUGGUAAACAGGAAACUAACUUUAUUACUGAAUCAUAAAGCAACAACAACAACAACAAUACAGACAAAGAAACUGGUUGACGUGGGUUAGCUGAGGAUUGAAGUUCCGUAAAGUGCUGAAGUGUUUCGGUUGAAAUUUGUUAAAGAGAGAAAAAAAGGGAGAAAGAGACAGAAAGAAAGGGAGAGAGAGAAAGAGAGAGAGAGUGGAGAAAAAUGGCAGUAAAAAUAGCUGAUGUAUUUCGACAGAUCUUUGCCAGGCAAACAUUAUUUCAAAUACUAUUGAUAUCAAUCUGUAUUUCUAGAGCAACAGUAUCAGCAGCAUCGACAACACCAACAACACGAACGACGCCAACGACGCCAACGACGCCAACGACGCCAACG